ACGCACGCUGGCGGCGUGCUUAACACCUGCAAGUCGAACGGUGAAGCUCCAGCUUGCUGGAGUGGAUCAGUGGCGAACGGGUGAGUAACACGUGAGCAACCUGCCCCUGACUCUGGAAUAAGCGCUGGAAACGGCGUCUAAUACUGGAUACGAGAAGGGUCCGCAUGGGCACUUUCUGGAAAGUUUUUCGGUUGGGGAUGGGCUCGCGGCCUAUCAGCUUGUUGGUGAGGUAAUGGCUCACCAAGGCGACGACGGGUAGCCGGCCUGAGAGGGCGACCGGCCACACUGGGACUGAGACACGGCCCAGACUCCUACGGGAGGCAGCAGUGGGGAAUAUUGCACAAUGGGCGAAAGCCUGAUGCAGCGACGCCGCGUGAGGGAUGACGGCCUUCGGGUUGUAAACCUCUUUCAGCAGGGAAGAAGCGAAAGUGACGGUACCUGCAGAAGAAGCACCGGCUAACUACGUG
rnacentral:rRNA from 1 species